rnacentral:rRNA from 1 species
UACGUAGGGGGCAAGCGUUGUCCGGAAUUAUUGGGCGUAAAGAGCUUGUAGGCGGUUUGUCGCGUCUGCUGUGAAAUUUCGGGGCUCAACCCCGAACUUGCAGUGGGUACGGGCAGACUAGAGUGUGGUAGGGGAGACUGGAAUUCCUGGUGUAGCGGUGAAAUGCGCAGAUAUCAGGAGGAACACCGAUGGCGAAGGCAGGUCUCUGGGCCACUACUGACGCUGAGGAGCGAAAGCAUGGGGAGCGAACAGG